UCAGCAGCCGCGGUAAUACGUAGGGUGCAAGCGUUAAUCGGAAUUACUGGGCGUAAAGCGUGCGCAGGCGGUCCGUUAAGACAGAUGUGAAAUCCCCGGGCUUAACCUGAGAACUGCAUUUGUGACUGGCGGACUCGAGUACGGCAGAGGGGGGUAGAAUUCCACGUGUAGCAGUGAAAUGCGUAGAGAUGUGGAGGAAUACCGAUGGCGAAGGCAGCCCCCUGGGCCAAUACUGACGCUCAUGCACGAAAGCGUGGGGAGCAAACAGGAUUAGAUACCCUGGUAGUCCACGCCCUAAACGAUGUCAACUGGUUGUCGGGCCUUCAUUGGCUUGGUAACGAAGCUAACGCGUGAAGUUGACCGCCUGGGGAGUACGGUCGCAAGAUUAAAACUCAAAGGAAUUGACGGA
rnacentral:rRNA from 1 species